rnacentral:misc_RNA from 1 species
UUUCCGUAGGUGAACCUGCGGAAGGAUCAUUAACACGAACAAAAUGUUCCAAAACCUUUUUGGAUCAACGCCAACCUUUGAAAAGGCGAACCUAGUUGUAUUUUUCUCCUUUUUCUAUUUUGUUUUUCUCAAACGCAACUUCUCAUGGAAAUUGACUAGAAUCGUGUGAUUUGUUCCAAUCCUAUCACCUCUUUCUCCUCUCCUCUCCUCUCCUCGUGAGAUGAGGUGGGAUGUGAGAUGGGAGAUGGGGGGUGGGUUUGGAACUAACCAUUCCUAACGCUAAAACAACUCUUAACAACGGAUAUCUUGGCUCUC